rnacentral:rRNA from 1 species
AACUCUGAUCCAGCAAUGCCGCGUGUGUGAUGAAGGCCCUAGGGUUGUAAAGCACUUUCAACGGUGAAGAUGAUGACGGUAGCCGUAGAAGAAGCCCCGGCUAACUUCGUGCCAGCAGCCGCGGUAAUACGAAGGGGGCGAGCGUUAUUCGGAAUUAUUGGGCGUAAAGGGCUCGCAGGCUGCUUGAACAGUUAGACGUGAAAUCCCCGGGCUCAACCUGGGAACUGCGUUUAAUACUGUCAAGCUAGAGAAAUAGAGAGGAAAGUGGAACUCCCAGUGUAGAGGUGAAAUUCGUAGAUAUUGGGAAGAACACCAGUGGCGAAAGCGACUUUCUGGCUAUUUUCUGACGCUGAGGAGCGAAAGCGUGGGGAGCAAACAGGAUUAGAUACCCUGGUAGUCCAC